AUAUAGGGCAAAAUGACUUGAGGGAUGGAUAAAUUUUUCUAAAAGAAAUGGAUUCUGGAUGGUUUCCUCUUCAAAUCAAGUGUUUUUU
rnacentral:pre_miRNA from 1 species